rfam:Zootermopsis nevadensis contig18013, whole genome shotgun sequence.
AUUAUGGUCUAGCGGUUAGAACGCUGGCCUUGUAAGCCUGGGGUCCCGGGUUCAAUUCCCGGUGGU